AAAGGUAGCGUAAUCAUUAGUUUUUUAAUUAAAAGCUUGUAUGAAUGGUUGGACGAGGUAAUAGCUGUCUUUAUUUAAUUUUAAUAGAAUUUAACUUUUGAGUAAAAAGGCUUAGAUGUAACUAAUAGACGAGAAGACCCUAUAGAUCUUUAUUUAUAAGUUUAUGAGAUGUAUUAAGGUUAGUUGAUAUUUUAUGAUUUUAUAAAUUUUAUUGGGGUAAUAUAAAGAUUAAAUAAAUUCUUUGAAUAUUUAAACAAUGAUGAUUGAAAAAUUGAUCCAUUAAUAUUGAUUAUAAGAUUAAGUUACCUUAGGGAUAACAGCGUAAUUUUUUUAAAGAGUUCAUAUCGAUAAAGAAGU
rnacentral:rRNA from 1 species